rnacentral:rRNA from 1 species
AUUGAACGCUGGCGGCAGGCCUAACACAUGCAAGUCGAGCGGAUGAAGGGAGCUUGCUCCUGGAUUCAGCGGCGGACGGGUGAGUAAUGCCUAGGAAUCUGCCUGGUAGUGGGGGAUAACGUCCGGAAACGGGCGCUAAUACCGCAUACGUCCUGAGGGAGAAAGUGGGGGAUCUUCGGACCUCACGCUAUCAGAUGAGCCUAGGUCGGAUUAGCUAGUUGGUGGGGUAAAGGCCUACCAAGGCGACGAUCCGUAACUGGUCUGAGAGGAUGACCAGUCACACUGGAACUGAGACACGGUCCAGACUCCUACGGGAGGCAGCAGUGGGGAAUAUUGGACAAUGGGCGAAAGCCUGAUCCAGCCAUGCCGCGUGUGUGAAGAAGGUCUUCGGAUUGUAAAGCACCUUAAGUUGGGAGGAAGGGCAGUAAGUUAAUACCUUGCUGUUUUGACGUUACCAACAGAAUAAGCACCGGCUAACUUCGUG